rnacentral:rRNA from 1 species
CCGGAAGACCAAGGGUUCCUGUCCAACGUUAAUCGGGGCAGGGUGAGUCGACCCCUAAGGCGAGGCCGAAAGGCGUAGUCGAUGGGAAACAGGUUAAUAUUCCUGUACUUGGUGUUACUGCGAAGGGGGGACGGAGAAGGCUAUGUUAGCCGGGCGACGGUUGUCCCGGUUUAAGCAUGUAGGCGGAGGUUCCAGGUAAAUCCGGUACCUUUUAACGCUGAGGUGUGAUGACGAGGCACUACGGUGCUGAAGUAACAAAUGCCCUGCUUCCAGGAAAAGCCUCUAAGCAUCAGGUAACAUCAAAUCGUACCCCAAACCGACACAGGUGGUCAGGUAGAGAAUACCAAGGCGCUUGAGAGAACUCGGGUGAAGGAACUAGGCAAAAUGGUGCCGUAACUUCGGGAGAAGGCACGCUGAUAUGUAGGUGAAGCCCCUGCGGGUGGAGCUGAAAUCAGUCGAAGAUACCAGCUGGCUGCAACUGUUUAUUAAAAACACAGCACUGUGCAAACACGAAAGUGGACGUAUACGGUGUGACGCCUGCCCGGUGCCGGAAGGUUAAUUGAUGGGGUUAGCGGUAACGCGAAGCUCUUGAUCGAAGCCCCGGUAAACGGCGGCCGUAACUAUAACGGUCCUAAGGUAGCGAAAUUCCUUGUCGGGUAAGUUCCGACCUGCACGAAUGGCGUAAUGAUGGCCAGGCUGUCUCCACCCGAGACUCAGUGAAAUUGAACUCGCUGUGAAGAUGCAGUGUACCCGCGGCAAGACGGAAAGACCCCGUGAACCUUUACUAUAGCUUGACACUGAACACUGGUCCUUGAUGUGUAGGAUAGGUGGGAGGCUUUGAAGCGUGGACGCCAGUCUGCAUGGAGCCAUCCUUGAAAUACCACCCUUUAAUGGCUGGUGUUCUAACGUAGACCCGUUACCCGGGUUGCGGACAGUGUCUGGUGGGUAGUUUGACUGGGGCGGUCUCCUCCCAAAGAGUAACGGAGGAGCACGAAGGUUAGCUAAUCCUGGUCGGACAUCAGGAGGUUAGUGCAAUGGCAUAAGCUAGCUUGACUGCGAGAGUGACGGCUCGAGCAGGUGCGAAAGCAGGUCAUAGUGAUCCGGUGGUUCUGAAUGGAAGGGCCAUCGCUCAACGGAUAAAAGGUACUCCGGGGAUAAC